GUGCCAGCAGCCGCGGUAAUACCGGCAGUCCGAGUGAUGGCCGAUCUUAUUGGGCCUAAAGCGUCCGUAGCUGGCUGAACAAGUCCGAUGGGAAAUCUGUCCGCUUAACGGGCAGGCGUCCAGCGGAAACUGUUCAGCUUGGGACCGGAAGACCUGGGGGGUACGUCUGGGGUAGGAGUGAAAUCCUGUAAUCCUGGACGGACCGCCGGUGGCGAAAGCGCCUCAGGAGAACGGAUCCGACAGUGAGGGACGAAAGCUAGGGUCUCGAACCGGAUU
rnacentral:rRNA from 1 species